GAACUGGAAGACAACCCCAUU
rnacentral:misc_RNA from 1 species